CCGGUGUCCUGCCCGUCUUCUGGAGCCUUUGAAUAGGCCUGCCGCAUAUGCCCCCACACAAUGGGUCACGUGACAAAAAAGUCCCGUGCCUUCCAGGAAGACUCGCCGCAGACAUGGACUUGUCCGUAGCGCAGCGGUUCCCGGCUCCUCCUCACUGGCAGUGCGGCUCGUGGACCUUUCCAAAGCAGUCAAGCUGAACAAUGAGUGGCUGAACAGAUGGAGCUGCAAUGUCUACGCUUCCCCCAUUAUUAUGACUACCCAGCGUGGAAACAACCUGCUUCAGCUGAUCACCUUGAUUUGUUGAGGAACCGGCGUCUGUGUAGACAGUC